rnacentral:snoRNA from 1 species
CUGGAACUGAUGCAUCAAAACCAAAACCCUGAUUGUCAGUGAAGGUGUCUUGUAUUCAUACUGUCUGAUCCAA